CCAAUCCAAGAAGCCUGGACUGCAGUCACCAUCUCAACACACCAACCAAGAGAAAGGCGGAUGGCUCAAUUCAAUAUGGAAAAUUGCACAAUAAAAGUUCCAGGACAUGAAGGCUGCAUACUGUGAACGUCAACCUUCAGGGCACCGUCCUGCGCAGAAGACUUUCUACCCUAAGAGGGAUGGCUGACCGCAAACACUCACAACCAGCACAGACGCCUCCAACCUCAAACUAGGCCCUUCACAGUUGCUGCACUUACCCACCUUCCCAGAGUUUUUGUGUGGUAAUGACAACUGUAAAUAUAGUAUAAAGUAAUGUAUCUAGUGUCAUGUGUAAUCAUUGUUUAAAUUGUCCAUACAUUUCAAUGACAGUAAAUAUUGGUGGACACAAUUUG